UCUUAAUGAAUCCUUCAGAACGGUUCAUGUGACCUGGUUGAACUAAUUCACUGAAAAGAUUCGAAUCACGUUAACGAUUCUUUCACGAAUCGGACAACGAUUUAAAGCGCUGAGACUUACGGGACAAAAAAUUUGUUUAGUGUUGGGAUGAAGUAAUACAUUUAGGAGCUCAGAGCACAGAGCUAUUUAAUUAAGACGGGCUGAAUUCGCAGGAUUACACAAAGUCUCACUUCUUGAAAUCACAAAUCAUUCGAAUCAGUUCGCCAGUUUCCCAACCCCUGCAGUCCAGAUCUGCAAACAGGCACCUCCCGUCCUCAUUUCGUCCAGAGGCGAACUUUCCAUUUCACUGGAGGUUAGAUGCGCUUUACACGAGCAGUCGAGGAAAAUGGCUUGUACUGUCGGUGGUCAGAUCAUACCGCAGUUAAACGUGGAGGAGGCGACGGAGGACAGCAGCCCGUCCAGGAGCACCUCCACCCGGCGGAGCAAAACCUCCUUCUCCCCGUUCAGCUCGAGGAAACAUCAGAGAUUGCCAGGAACUCAAGGACAGCAUGCUUUGGUUAAAUCUGCUCCUGUAGAAGACAUUUCCUUGGCUUCUCUCCAGAGAAUCCCAAGGCUGAUGCGUCAUGACAAGGCUUUCUAAAGGAUGGAACUUGACUUGUACAGAUACAUUUCAGGCACUUGAUCCAUCCGUCUCGGUCUUGAUCGGUGAGCAUGUUGAUAUAGUAUGAGCUUAAAGAUGCCUCACAUUGUGUGGCGUAUUAAAGAGAAGUGUUACUUAAGGGAUGUUUCCGCUGAGAAUAAAAAUAUAUUAUUUUUGUAUUGUGCUGAAAAUCUUUUACCUAGUUUGGUGUUCCUGGUCAAAAAUCACCAGCCUUUUAAACAUUGCUAGUAAAUUUUUUUUUUUUUUUUUUUUUUUUUUUUUUUUAUUAUGUUGUAUUAUCGCCAAAUCUUGAAUUCAGUCUUUUUGUCAAUUCUUUUUUUAGUACAUGCUUUUGUAUUUCUUUAAAAAAAAAAAAAAAGAUUCAUCAUAGACCUCAUUAAUCUGAGCCUAUUCGCUUCAAUAUUUUUAAAGAAUUGAAAGAAAUUGAAAAAAAAACAAGUUGAUGAAAAGAUUGAAUCCAAUAUUUGGUAAUGAUAUAACAUAGGAAAUUUAUAAGCAAUUUUUUUGUAGGCUGGGAAUACCACAAGUGUAACAAGGUGGGAAAAAUCUCCCAAAAGCACUAAAAUUAUCAAAAAGUUUGUUUGGAAGUUAUACCCUCUGUGUUCAAAUUCAGUAGGUUUUAGUCCAGUGUUAUAAUAUUUAACUAGCACUUUCGUGAAAAAUAAAAUGACCAAAACUUAUCUUUAAUUAUGAAAUUGUUUUUCAUAAUUGCAGCUUUAUGUCUCACAAUUGGAACCUUAUAUAACACAAUAUGACUUGUGUUUCUUAUUUUAAGCUUUAUUUCACAAAAGGCUUUUAUAAUAACAUUUUUAUUUGAUUAGACUAGUGUUUUUUGUUCUCUCUUGCCUUUGCCAUUACGAAACAACCUAGAGUACCAUAGCACCCUUUCUCAUUUGCAGAACCUGCUCAGCAAAAUCUAUUUACAGAGUAUUUUAAUACAUUAUAACCAAACUGUAAAAAGAUACCAUACAUACAUUGAAAUCAAAACAUUAGAAUCGUUAUUUCCCUAGGCCCAUUUGGGCUCGCUUUACCCAUUGUGCAUUGCGGCCCAUUACAGUUUUAUGCACGUUAUUGAUUGUUAGUCCAUUACCUGUGACCUCUGUGAGACAUCCAACACAGUCCCACCCGAAUUAGACAUGGGUGACGACAUACUCUGGCUGUGGUUUGGAGCGAUAUCAUAUUUUGCUGUUUGUGCAUUAGACAGUAAAGAGAUAAUGGGUCUCUCUGCAAUCUGUAAGUUCUUUUUAGUAGAAACAUCAGACAAGAGCAGGGAAAAAGUUGUGCUGCUUUUUCUAGAACUCUGUUCCUAUGUGUGUUUGUCAUAAUUUAGUGGCUUCCUUUCUGCAGAGGACUGACUGAUCUCUUUCAAGGCAAAAAUGAUGAAAAUGAAAUGAAGUCACUGUUUUGCAAGUCAUGCUGGUUGUCCUUAGCUGCGCAGACUCACAGAAAUGUGUCCUUGAUGAGUCUUUGUGAGUCGGAUUCAGCAGAGAGCCUUGAGAAACCCACCUAUCCCAGGGACCUUCAGCAUUCCAGAUAACACAUAGAUAAUAACAAAAAGAUCAGCACCAUGGACAGCAACCUCACAUUAGUCAUGAAUGCUUCACUGAUAAACUUGUAGCGCUUGGUUAUGAUUACUUGAUUAGUGAUCAAGAAAUGCAGAUAUCUUAUUUAGGGAUGUAGGAUUUUUUAUUAUAUAUUUUUUUAGCAAUAUUUAGUUGUACAUGCUCAUUUGCCCUAUUUUGACACAUAGAGAAGACAUUACCUCACUUGAAGUUAAUCUUUUAAAACACACACACACACACACACAAAAAAAUACUAGCAUGGUUAAUUAUAAACUGGCAAAUGUCAAAAAAAAAAAAUUCAAUUCAUACUGUACUAUGUCAAAAAUAUUGAUCUUAAUUUUAACAUUAUAAUACAGUAUGAAUGGAUAUUUAUAAUUUGAACAUUACAAUACAGUGAAUGGAUAUUUGUUUUGAGAUUUGCUAAAGAUGAUAAAUUAUUAGUGUAUAAAUGAUUAGUGUUUUUAAAUAUUAACUUAAGAUGAGGUAAUCUAAUUUUUUUUUUAUAUUUUUUAUUUUUUUUAGAUUUAUACAUUAUCGGAAAGCUGAAUGAAGCUUUCCAUUGAUGUACUGUAUGGUUUGUUAGGAGAGGACAUUAUUUGGCUGAGAUACACCUUUAAUUUAAUCUGGAAUCUGAGGGUGCAAAAAAAUAUAAAUAUUGAGAAAAUCACCUUUAAAGAUGUCUAAAUGAAGUUCUUAGCAAUGCAUAUUACUAAUCAGAAAUUAAGUUUUGAUAUAUUUACAGUAAGAAAUAUACAAAAUAUCUUCAUGGAACAUGAUCUUUACUUAAUAUCCUAAUGAUUUUGCCAUAAAAGAAAAAUCUAUCAUUUUGACCCAUACAAUGUAUUGUUGGCCCGUGCUUCUUAUGUCUGGUUUUGUGUUCCAGGGUCACAUAUAUAGUUUUAAGAUUUUGAAAAAUGAUGUUAUGAUGUAUAAUGAAUAAAGUAUAUAGUGAGAGAGAGUUUUUUAGUGUCUUUUAAUUUUUAUUUUAGGACCCCAUUUUUGGACCCCACUGUUGUUAUGUUCUUAUCAAUGUGUUCAUGUCAGAAUGCAUGCAUUUGGGAUUUUGUGUGAAGUAAAUGUCUGCCUACGGUACAUAAAAUAUAAAACUUUGUGCAAAAGGUGGAAAUUCAGUCUCUUGAUUAGCUGAUUUGCAGUAUAUACUGUAUAAAUAUAUAUAUACAGUAGAUUACAUUACAGGACACCAGAGGGCAGCACUUGAUUGACUGUCAUAUCAAGACCUUUAAAGGUAUUUUACUAUGUAAGAAUUCAGUUUAUUUCGUAAUAACACUGAACUUUUAAUUUACUGGAUAAAUAUGUCAAUCUGAGUGUAAAGAGAAAUAAAAGGAGGGCCAGAGACAAGCAUGCAUGUGGCAUUUUCAUCAUGGUGAAUCCGGCCGGUGACUCAGAAAGAAUGAAACUGAAUGAGGUCAUAAUAAAUAAAUAAAUAAGUUGCAUAAACAAUGCAGAGUGGGUGUCUGCCACAUCAAUAUAAUAAAUAAAAAGAUGAUUUUUUUUUCCUUUUUUUCUUCUGUCCAUAGGAUGGUGUUACUCAUGAUGUUGCAUAAGUUCCGACACAUUCAUUCAGUGUUAUUUGAACAAAGCUGGAUGACCCACACAUUUACAGGUUAUCUUGGCCUUUGGUGUUUGUGGUAGUAAGAUGCCUUUGUCCUCUUGCAUAGCACAAAAAGUGUUUUGUAUGUUCAUAAUGCAUCAUCUUUAGAGAGCAGCAAAAUUAUGGAUAGGCUGCAUAAUCGUAAUUCAGCUAUUUAACAGAAUUUUCAGAAAAAAGUGGUAUUUUUCAGUGACAGCUGUCAAUCUGAUGUGUUACGCAAAUGCACACCAAUGUGGAGUGAAGCUCAGUCAAGUGCAAACGCCUGCUAGCAGCCCACAGUACAGUGACUGUACGACCUCUAUCGAUUUAACCGCUGUCAUUGUGAGCGGCCCUCGAGGCUGAGACUAGCGCAGAGAUGCACUGAUGCUUCCUCUGAAUCCACUUCUGGUGGUUUUUAAAAAUAUCUAAAACAAUGUAAUGUUUUUAAUCAUUGUUCUCAGAGUUAUAACCGAUUCUUUUUUUAGCUUCACCAAUGCUGUCAUUUCUAAGUUGGGCUGAAAGUGGUCACAAUGUUAUGUGUCAUUUUCCCUUUUUCAGUUCAUGAAUGUGCCAAUGGCCCCAAAAGCAAACGCCAUCUCUCACUUUAAGCUUAACGCCGGCGGUGGCUGACUAUGAAUUUCACAUUUCAAUUUCACAGCAUUUUAAGGGGGUGGAAACUUUAGAAAUAUCACCCCGUGAGGGAUACUGUAUAAGAGUAUGCUGUCUGAUCCAAUCCCGUUUAAGACGUUGAGUGAGUUCCUGUAGCUGCUCGGAGCUGGGAAACUAUCCUCGGAACCAUUGAGCACAGAAUAAGGUACUACAAUAAUUACACUGAAGUUUGAAAGUUUGGGGUCAAUAAGAAUUUUUUUAAGAAAUUAAUAGUUUUA
rnacentral:lncRNA from 12 species